rnacentral:tRNA from 1 species
GGGCUUGUAGCUCAGUUGGUUAGAGCGCGCGCUUGAUAAGCGUGAGGUCGAAGGUUCAAAUCCUUCCAGGCCCACCA